rnacentral:ncRNA from 1 species
ACAGACUUAGUCCUAACCUUACCGUUAGUUGCUACCAAACAUAUACAUGCAAGUAUCCGCACACCAGUGUAAAUGCCCACGACUUCUAAAUUAGAUUGGAGGAGCAGGCAUCAGGCGCGCAAAUUAAUUGCAGCCCAAGACGCCUUGCUUAGCCACACCCCCACGGGUAUUCAGCAGUAAUUGACAUUAAGCAAUAAGUGAAAGCUUGACUUAGUUAUGGUAGAACUCAACUCAGGGCUGGUUAAUCUUGUGCCAGCUACCGCGGUCAUACAAGAAGCCCAAAUUAACGGUAGUGCGGCGUAAAGAGUGGCGCAAUAAUAUCACGCAACUAAGACAGAGAUGCAACUGAGCUGUCAUAAGCCUAUGAUGCAUAUAAGUCCAACAUCAAGACGAUCUUAGCAAAAAAGAUUAACUACAGCCACUAAAGCUAAGGCCCAAACUGGGAUUAGAUACCCCACUAUGCUUAGCCCUAAAUCAUGGUACUCACAGUACUAGAGUACCCGCCCGAGAACUACGAGCACAAACGCUUAAAACUCUAAGGACUUGGCGGUGCCCUAAACCCACCUAGAGGAGCCUGUCCUAUAAUCGAUAACCCACGAUACACCCAACCACUUCUAGCCUAAGCAGCCUACAUACCGCCGUCCCCAGCCCACCUUACAUGAGAGAUAUAAUAGUGAGCUCAACAGCCACCCGCUAGUAAGACAGGUCAAGGUAUAGCCCAUGAAGUGGGAGAGAUGGGCUACAUUUUCUAAAAUAGAAUAUAACGGAAAGGGAAAUGAAAAUACCUUCCCUGGAAGGCGGAUUUAGCAGUAAACUGGAACAAUAAAGUCCAAUUCAACCAGGCCCUAGGGCACGUACAUACCGCCCGUCACCCUCAUCAAAAGCUUUAAAGCACAUAAAUAAUAAAAAUAGUAGCUAAAGACGAGGUAAGUCGUAACAAGGUAAGUGUACCGGAAGGUGCACUUAGAAC